UUUUUGCCUUUCUGGGCCUCUGCAAAGGGAAUUCCAGCAUAGCUGAUCUAUGCACAGCUGAUUGUCAGGAGGGGGGGAAGAAAUACCUUAGGUGAAUGUCAGGCGGGCAGGUAAGCAAGUAUCGGGCAGGAGGGCAACCGGAUCGGGGGCAUGGCCAGCCAGAACUUACUACCAGUUCAGCGACCCAUGCCAAAUUCUUGCUAUCGGUUUGCCCGAUCCGGUGUGAACUGACUGAAU